rnacentral:rRNA from 1 species
GAUGAACGCUGGCGGCGUGCCUAAUACAUGCAAGUCGAGCGAACGGACGAGAAGCUUGCUUCUCUGAUGUUAGCGGCGGACGGGUGAGUAACACGUGGAUAACCUACCUAUAAGACUGGGAUAACUUCGGGAAACCGGAGCUAAUACCGGAUAAUAUUUUGAACCGCAUGGUUCAAAAGUGAAAGACGGUCUUGCUGUCACUUAUAGAUGGAUCCGCGCUGCAUUAGCUAGUUGGUAAGGUAACGGCUUACCAAGGCAACGAUGCAUAGCCGACCUGAGAGGGUGAUCGGCCACACUGGAGCUGGGACACGGUCCAGACUCCUACGGGAGGCAGCAGUAGGGAAUCUUCCGCAAUGGGCGAAAGCCUGACGGAGCAACGCCGCGUGAGUGAUGAAGGUCUUCGGAUCGUAAAACUCUGUUAUUAGGGAAGAACAUAUGUGUAAGUAACUGUGCACAUCUUGACGGUACCUAAUCAGAAAGCCACGGCUAACUACGUG